UGGGGAACUAAACUCUAAUACGAACACAACUGAGUGAUAGGUGGAGUGGUAGAGGAGGGUAUGCGCAAGGGUGAGGUCUCAGGUUUGAAUCCCACCGAUCCCAAUUUUACGCGAAAAAAUCCACGACUUCCCUGUAUUAAAAUCUUUUUUUCUAUUUUUAAAAACCGAUUUCAUAUUUUCUAAAUGCAUUUCCACAGACGGUUCGCCAAACCGCCUAUAAAAAGAGGUUACGAACCGCCUGUAUAGUGAGCUAUACCAAAUAGAUCAUUAGCAGCAGUCGUGGAUGGAUAUUCACGGGAGUGGUGGCUAUGAAAGGAAUCGGUUUGCUAAGAGAAAGUAUAAUAAAAAAAGUUGUAAGUAGACUAUAUGUUUAAGUGGAGCAGAAAGGAGAGGAGAGAGAGGAGAAGUUGGUUGUAAAAUUAUAGUUGCCUUAGACGUAAGAACCAAAAAACUUUGUGAGAGAGGCAAGUGAGUCAUUUGUUAAUAAUAAAAAGCUAACUACUAUAUACCUGAACUAAGAGAUUAGCGGUAAAGAUCCAAACUGUGAGAGCAUCUCUAAAAGUUUCCAACUUUUUUGCCUAAAAACUUGUAGUUUAGCAACUCCUAAAAAAUUAGGGAGGAAAAAGAAGAUCAUCUCCAAAAGUUUUUAAUAAAUUAUAUCUAAAACAUCAAAUUUGAGACCCCCAUAUAUUAUUUUCUGGUUUUUUUCUUUUUUUUUUGUCACGCGAAAUAGAUCGGGCGUACAUAAGGCCGCUGCCUCCUGCCGCUGCUCCCAUUCCUAUGAGCACCUACCCUCAAACUAGCUAUAGCUAUGCAGGAAGUCGCGAUAGAACAAGAACUCGUGAUGGAGAAGCGCGGGAAGGAGCGAGCCACAGCAAGAAGGCACGAGAGAAUGACUCCGUGCGGGAACACUGUAUUCACGCGUCCCUUCGUCCGUGCAAUGUUACGCAGAUGCAGAUGAAAUUUCCCAUGUCCUAAAAGAUUCUUUUAGGAGUAGAUAUUAGGAGUUGCUGGAGAGAGAUUUUUCUCCAUCUUUAAAAAAACAAGGAUUACUUUUGGAACUCUUGGAGAUGCUCUAAGUAGUUAUUAGCCUUACUCUAAGAAGGGAUAUGGUUAUUUGGUGGAGAUAUUGUAACACCCCAAAAUUUGCAAGUUUUCAAAAUAGGAGAAAUGUUUUUAAUUGUGUAUUUUUUGUGCUCAUAAAACAUAAGGAAAAUAAUAUUUUUCAUUAUAUUGAAAUUUAUUAUAGGGUUUAGCAACAUGACUGAGCAUCUAUGCUGCCGCAUUUUAUUUUGUCUGAGUGGUUGUUUUGAAUUUCAAAAAGGUUUUCAAAUUUACUUGCAAUCUAAUUAAGCAAAGGCCGGCUUGUCCCGCAAGUCAUGACCCUCUUAAAUAGCGCCCUCGGCCUCGACUAAACCCCCUACUCCAACCUUAGAGCAAGCCGUCGCCCUAGCCUAGUCCCAAAACGCCGCCGAGAUCUGCGCCAAGCUCGAAACGCCGCGGCACCCCGUCUCUGCUUCCGUGAGCACUUUGCCGACCUUCUCCUCGCUCUUGCGAAGUCGCCACAGCUCUCUUUCCGCGUUUUCGUGCUUUCUAUGCACGGCUAACCCUCGCCGAACCUUGCAGGGGCUCGCCGUCCGCCUAUCUCCGUCGCGAGCACGCCCGGGUUUCUUCCCGACCUCGGUCUUGCCCUAGGUCAGUCCGCAUCAAGAUCCUCUACGCCCUAGUGAAACCGGUUCGCUUUCUAGUACCCUAAAUCGCCAAGUCAGCGACCACCGGCCAAGUCCGGCCAUGGCGCCGCGGUGAUCUCCUCCAACUCCGGCAGGCCAACACCCCUCUCCCCACUACAAUCUAAUCUCAGCCGUCCAAGAGCUAUCCGACGCCCCAAAUCAGGAGAUACCCCUUCGGCCACGUCCUUUUGCAAAAGAGCCCCCCUUGUUUUUAAAGUUCCAACCCGCAGUCCAAAGCGCACUUUCGAAAAUACGUUUUCCGAUUUCGAAGGCGUAAACUCAGUACUCAGAUUCAAAAUACGUUUUUAGGAAAUUACAAGUUUGCCACUUGUUUUAUAUUGCUCAUAAAAACUCCGUUUUAACUCCAAUUUGAUCCGUUCCAAUUGCGUUAGAUUCGUUUUCGCGUAAUCUAGAGAUUAGUGGCACUGUUACACAAGUUUUCAACUUUUAAAAUCUUAGUUUAGAUUUAAUCUAUUAUUUUAUUAAAGGCAAUCUUGUGUAGAUCAUAACUUUUUCGUUAUAGCUCCGAUUUUCGUGAUCUUUACGUCUGUGUGAUCGUAGUACGACAUAGAUUUAUUUUAUAAACUUUUCAUCUUGAUUUUCUACUGUUGGUGUAUUGUUCUAAUUAUAGGUUUGUUUGCUUUGUAUGUUUGCCUCUGGAUGAUUGAUGUUGAUGUGAUGACUGAGUUUAGUCGGUGAGCUUUUACGUGGUGAUCAAGAAGCAGUUUGUGGAAGGUUUGGAACUAAAAGAGGAUCUGAGUUUCAAGGCAAGUAUAGCAUGGGAUCAUCCUUGUUUCCUAAUAACUUUAAUCACACAAUUUAUAUUGCAUGUGUCUCUUUGCUAAGGAUUUCCUAGUAUUGAUCUUAUACCUUGUCACCUAUGGUUUUGCAUUGGGUAGCUUAUGCUAGUGCUCCACUAAACCAUGAUCUUGUAAUUUGAUUAAUGGAAUAUGCAAUAAACAUUAAAAGAGAACUUUUUAGCAACUUGGAAAAAGAGGGCUGGAGCAUUGGGCUAUCUUAUGGUGCUCUAGUUUCUCUCCAUAAGGACUUAUCUGUAUCUGACCAUUCGGGACAUACAGUACAAUUGUGAGGGCUACAUGGCUCUGGCUUUAGCUCAGUAUGAGGACUUUUUCUAGCUUGUUAGUGGUUACCCUUGUGGCGCAAAUGGGGGAUAGCAGACCGUGGAUUCCUGCGGGUGAGUCACACGGACUGACUAACGAAACCUAGCGGCCCUAACUUGUUAGACGAACCUUUGAAAGACUUCAUAGUGAACCCUGCCGGUCUUCCUUGGUAGUGGGCUAAGAGGUCGACGGGCCUCGGGCGAAAGGGUAAAUCAUGACUCACAGUGAAAGUGUACAACCUCUGCAGAGUGUAAAACUGAGAUGUCAGCCGUGCUCACGGUCACGAGCGGCCUUGGACCAAUACAGAAUAAAUGAUCACUAAUAGCAAAUUAUUAAAGUUAUUAUUGUUAAUAUGUUGUUUAUGCUAUUCUUUAUUCACUUUACCUAAUCAUGAGUUUACCAUGGGACUUGACAACUUGAUGCUACUCAUAUGCUAAAAUUGUGACAACUAAAAGCUACAUGCAGUUAAACCAGAGUCUAGCCUUUGAGCCUCAUGAACCCCAUGUUAUUCUUGCUGAGUACGAGAUGUACUUACGCUUGCCUUUACAAUUUAUUUGGAUAAAAAUCCCGGAUGGGUACCAGAUUGCUAGUUUGGAGAAGAGUUUAGGCUUGUGCUCAACCAGUCAGUUGUCCCUGUGGAUUUGGAGCUUUCGCCUGAAGAACGGAGUGUCUUUCCGCUGUUUGCUAUCUAAGGUUAUAUCUUUUAUACUAAGUUCGUUAUAUAUAAGCAUUGUCUAUUGAUAUUACCCCUAUUUGUGGCUAUAUGUGAGAUUUGACUUCCUGGACUCACAUAUGGUGUGUAUCUGGUUUUGUCCUUAAAACUGGGUGCUACAAAGUGGUAUGAGAGCAAUGCUAACUGUAGGACGCAAGCCUAGAUAGUAAUGGUCGUGUUAGUCAUCUUUGCUUCACUACGUUCAUGCUUACUAUCUCACCCUUGCUAUUUGCUAAAAUUCUUAUGCUUCUAUCAUCUAAUUCUAUUCUAAAAGUAUUGCUUCUAUUCUAACUCCCUCUUGGUCUAAUUCCAUAGAUGGUUCAUAACGAAAAGAUUGCUUGCAGCAACUCUGGAAGACCAUGCUUAACUCAAGGUAUAUAUGGCUUAACGGAACCAGAGUAUGAAGAAGCUCACCCUGUCCCAUCAAGACAUACUUGCUGGCGGAAGGAGUACUUUACCACAUCCUUUAGUGGCGAAGAUUUCUUUCACCCUCGGCUUGUGCGUAUAGUACAAGACCACUAUCCUGAACAGCAAGCCAAGGUGGAAUAUAAGUGCACUAAGUGGACUCAUCCUAAGUAUGAGAGCCACUGGAGCAUAGAAGCACACAUCACAAGGUGGAAUGAGUUUACUGGUUCACGCAUGGUGGAAUCCAUUCAUUCGUCUCUCAGUGACCGUUUCAGUAAGCAUGCUAGCAUAUCUGAUGCUGCCCAUCAAGCUCUUCUGGCAUAUCAUGGAAAGCACUACGAAGGGAGGAAGAAUGACAAACAAAAGUAUCUUCCUCGUCGUCCACCAGGCACUUUGCAAUGUGUGAUGGCUGACCCCUACUUGGAGCAGAAUGAACAACUAAAGGAGAUGGCUUUGACUAUCCAAGUCAUGCAUCAAAAGCUAGAAGAUAGUCAACUGGAAUUGGCAGAAGUAAGGCAACACUAUGAGGAAGCCCUUGAUGAGAUUGAUGAGUGGAGAAGACGUGGUGGAUUACCUAAGAUCAAUGAGGUGGAUGGCAUACCUCGCCUAACUCCACGCAAGAGAUGCUACCCUGGAUGCCACUGCAGCCACACCGUGUUUAAGAAGUAGGAAGUCCCCCCUUUGUAAUAAACGUUAGUAGCAAAAGUUGAGUCUAGUCAAUAUGUGUGCUUUGUGAACCUUUAAUGUUUGGUUGGUUUGUCUUGGUGUUUAUGUUUGAGUUGGAAUUUUGUAAUGAGUGCAAUGAUCUUAUGGGUUUCUCCAUAAUUUCAUUUAGUUUUUAGGUCUAAGAUAUAGGGACUAGUGAAUAAAUAGAUGGGUUUUAGUUUCCCUUGUUUUCUCUACCCUGACUUUCGGGAGCAACAUAUCUUCUUCAGUUCAAAUCCCUAUUCUUGAAGGACCAUAAAAUCAUGUUAAACUUCUGGGUAAUAGUAGACUUCAAGAUCCUUCUCUAACCUCAAGAAUCACCCUCAUAGCUGUUGUCGUUUGGGAACUAUGAAAAUCACAAGAUGGUAUAGUUGAGCUGUCAGAAAUCAGGACCAGUUUCAGUUGCCUACUGAUUUGGGCAAAUGUAACUCCGGAAUUUGGGAAAAGGAUCUAUAAUAAGGUUUUAGGUCAUUUGAUAAGCUUUCCAACGAUGCAAGCUGCAACUUUAUCGGAUUAAUAGAACUUGAGUUAUGACAUCUACAAGUUGCUGUUGCUGCACAGUUCAAAAUCUGAACAGUUCCAGUUAGUUCCUAUUUUCAGCCAACUUAACAUCAGAAUUCGGAAAGUGGGAUAUACAGAAGUUGUGGAGGACUUCAUAAGCUUUUCAACCAUGUAAGACUCAUCCCCAUAUGAUCUAAGUAGCUCGAGAUAUGACUUCUGCAAAUUGAUGUAUCGAUGCUGAGACAUUGUCGGGAUGGAUAUCAUGUUGAGCUGUUUUACCUAGGUUUAAAUACAGAAACUAAGGAAGCCUUCUAUAUGAAAGUUGUAGGGAUUUUGAUAAGGUUUCUAAUGGUAUAAGCUAAGACCUUAUUGGAUUAACAGAAAAGGAGUUAUUUCUAUUUUACUGUGCUGGUGUUUCUCGUGUUGUGAGGAAAUUCAGAUUUCUUGUACACAUCAGUGCACAUGAGUUUCUCUUCGGUAUUAGAAGAUCUUAUGAUAAGAAACACACUUGAGAGGUGGACUAAACUACCCACUUAAACCCCUAGUUACCUUUUCUAAGGGGGGGUAGUCUUAUCAAAGGAGUUACAAAGAGAAGAAUUGGUUAAUGUUGGAUCAUCGAUAAGGACCUCAAGUGUUUGGUAAAUUUGGUUUUUGAUGCAAGAAAUAGUUCCAUUGAAGUGUGCUAAUAUGGAUGGAGAUAUAGGUCACUGCCAGUACUCAUAGCUUGGAAGUGGUGCUUAUAAGAAUCAGGUGACAUCAAAGUCUACGAAGUUAUACAUGGGAGGUGAGAGCGAAGCAAGCCAACUAUGAUAGAGGUAUCAAUAGUUGGGACUGAGUGAUGAAACCAACUCCAGACUAUGAGACUUGGUACAGUGAAUUUAAAAGACUAUAAGAGGUGAACAUGAGAGCUAGUCCAUAUUGUCCCCCGACCUAUCUCAUCUUAAGGGGGGUAGUACCUCGAUAGUGUCUCUGGAAAUAUCCCAUGAUUAUAAUCAUCUACUCUGGCUCAAGUUAGUGAAAUUGGUCACUUGACAACUUAGGAAGUGGAUAUGCUACAUCUACUAUUGAUUCUACGGAGACUCAAAAGACUUCAUUACUAAAGGGAGCAUGACCAGUAUGUUCUAGUUAAUGGAAGUUCUCAUAUAGGAGAUGUCAUCUUUAAUGAUGGACUUAAGAAGGUUAAAGAUGCAAGAGUUGGAAACCACCAAAGGAAGGUGAAUGAGACUUAGAGUUUUAUAGAUAUGGCAAGAGAUUAUCAUAGAUUUGCUGGGGCCAAUGUGAUUUUGACAUAAGAGUGAAUAAGAGAUUGACUUGGAAUAAAAAGAUUCUAUCAGUGGUUCACUGAAGGUGUUAUAAAGAUCAACAUAUAGGCUUCUUCUAUUCCAUCAAGACCUUAGAUGUGCUCCAUACAAGAAAAGUAGUGGCUUGUGCAUAAGUCAACUAAGUAGGUUGGAUUAACUGCCGUGUGAUGUGGAGGUAUCCAUAGUGGAGCAUGGAGAUACUGCCUUCUUGGGUCUAAGGAGUGAUAUCUGUGUAGAACGUAAGAAUCUAAAGGGCAUCUUUAGGAAGUUGGAUUUGAGCUGGUCACAUUGUCGAUGGAUUUGAGUGAAUCAAGAGUUAUGGCUGGAAAAAAAUGCUAUCACUUGAAGGAGAAAAGGCCUUUGCGAAUGCUCAGAGCAUAAAGAGUGUGCUAGAGGAGUUCAAAUGACACUGAAAUUUGAAGGGUUGAGUGUUGAACUGGGUGAUGUCACUAGUACUGUCAAAUGAGCUCUACUAAUUACUCACCCAGGAACAAGAGGAACUACAAAGAUUACUUAGAAGAUAUGUUGUGAGCUUGUGUAUUACGGUAUGGUGCAAAGAGUUUACCGUAUGCAAAGUUUUCUUAGAAUAACAGUUAGUAGAGGAGCCUUCAGUGGGAGCCUUUUGAAAGCUUGUAUGGAUGUAAGUGUAGAACCCUGUUGAUUUGAAAUCAAACGGGAGAACACAAGUGUUUGGGCUAGAAGUACUAAGUGAUGCAGAACAACAUUUGAGAGUGAUCAGAGAUAAUCGGAAGGUGGCACAGUCUCGACAUAAGAGUUAUGUUGACACCUCCGGAAGGGAAUUAGUUUUGAAGUGGGAAACUAUGUGUUUUUGGAAAUGGCACCUAUGAGAAGUGAGUGGAGAUUUAAUAUGAAAGGAAAGUUAGCACCAAGGUAUGUCGGGCCUUUCAAGAUGUUAGAAAUAUGGAACAAAGUGGCUUACCAAAUAGAGCUACCAGAAAGUGUAGGAGUGUAUGAUGUCUUCCAUGUGUCUCAACUUAAAAAGUACUUGCAUGUGCCAUAAGAGCAGAUGUCGUUAGAAGAACUGACUGUUAAAUCGGAUUUCACAUACCAAGAGUACCUGGUAAGAAUUUUGGAAACAACAGAAAGGGUGACCAGGAGUUGGAUUUUCAGGAUGUACAAAGUCGAGUGGAAUCAGUUCACCGAAGAGGAGGCUAUUUGUAACAGAGAAGAGGAUCUUAGAAAAAAAAAACUACCCGCAUUGGUUUAAGUAAGCACCAACUUAAUCUCGAGGACAAGAUUCAUUUUAAGGGGGGUAGAAUUGUAACACCCCAAAAUUUGCAAGUUUAUUUCCAAAAUAGGAGAAAUGUUUUUAAUUGUGUAUUUUUUGUGCUCAUAAAACAUAGGGAAAAUAAUAUUUUUCACUAUAUUGAAAUUUAUUAUAGGGUUUAGCAACAUGACUGAGCAUCUAUGCUGCCGCAUUUUAUUUUGUCUGAGUGGUUGUUUUGAAUUUCAAAAAGGUUUUCAAAUUUACUUGCAAUCUAAUUAAGCAAAGGUCUGAAAAUAAAAUUGGAAAUGUAUUUAUUUUUCUCCUCCUCUCUCACCCUGGAAAUCGGCCCGAAGGCCCAGAACCUUUCCCCCCUGUUUCCUACUUUUUUGCCUAAAAACUUGUAGUUUAGGAACUCCUAAAAAAAUAGGGACGAAAAAGAAGAUCAUCUCCAAAAGUUUUUAAUAAAUUAUAUCUAAAACAUCAAAUUUGAGACCCCCAUAUAUUAUUUUCUGGUUUUUUUCUUUUUUUUUGUCACGCGAAAUAGAUCGAGCGUACAUAAGGCCGCGGCCUCCUGCCGCUGCUCCCAUUCCUAUGAGCACCUACCCUCAAACUAGCUAUAGCUAUGCAGGAAGUCGCGAUAGAACAAGAACUCGUGAUGGAGAAGCGCGGGAAGGAGCGAGCCACAGCAAGAAGGCACGGGAGAAUGACUCCGCGCGGGAACACCGUAUUCACGCGUCCCUUCGUCCGUGCAAUGUUAAGCAGAUGCAGAUGAAAUUUCCCAUGUCCUAAAAGAUUAGGAGUAGAUAUUAGGAGUUGCUGGAGAGAGAUUUUUCUCCAUCUUUAAAAAAAAUAAGGAUU
rnacentral:lncRNA from 1 species